GUAGGUGGCAAGCGUUGUCCGGAAUUAUUGGGCGUAAAGCGCGCGCAGGCGGUUCUUUAAGUCUGAUGUGAAAGCCCACGGCUCAACCGUGGAGGGUCAUUGGAAACUGGAGAACUUGAGUACAGAAGAGGAAAGCGGAAUUCCACGUGUAGCGGUGAAAUGCGUAGAGAUGUGGAGGAACACCAGUGGCGAAGGCGGCUUUUCUGGUCUGUAACUGACGCUGAGGCGCGAAAGCGUGGGGAGCAAACAGGGAUUAGAUACCCUGGUAGUCCACGCCGUAAACGAUGAGUGCUAAGUGUUAGGGGGUUUCCGCCCCCUUAGUGCUGCAGCUAACGCAUUAAGCACUCCGCCCUGGGGAGUACGGCCGCAAGGCUG
rnacentral:rRNA from 1 species